GCAAUGGCUGACUAGGGUUCCGGCUCGCAAGCGCGAGUGACUGGUCCGAGAGUUGGCGACCUCCAGUUGAGGUUACACGGCGGGACAAAAGCCCGGGAGAC
rfam:Pseudomonas sp. GM78 PMI35_contig94.94, whole genome shotgun sequence.